CUGCUGACAGUGGCCAACAUGAUGGAGGCAUCUUGGUUCAGAUUUGAGCCUAUUUUAAUAUCAGUUUAUAUGAAUAUUGCCAGCCGCCUCAGAAACAAUCAAAGCCUGAGCUUUCGCAUUACCAAAAACCAGGUGUUAGCCUCUACUGAAUAUUAAGCUAUCUCAGAAGCCAAAUAUGGCCCCAUUGCAGUCUAUUCCUAUGAAUAAAUAAACCUCAAAUGGUAAACUAUGCAGUUAUGGAGCACGGACUAUUUUGCCAAGGAUCAAAUGCCAUUACACUAUCUUGCUCUCUGCUCCAUGAAACCAGCCUAGCCUUGAACCAUUUGCAUGCUAUUACCAAGGAGUGCCUCCUUUAUGAUGAGUAAUCACUAAUGUACUUAUCCUAUAAUUAAUUGCUACUCUAAGAUGUCUACGACAAUGGCAUACUGGCUGUAUGAUCCUUUAAGGUAAUUAUGUGGCUGCCGACGUCAUUGUUAGCACUGAUAUUUGAGCAACAUUCCUC